rnacentral:rRNA from 1 species
AGAGUUUGAUCCUGGCUCAGAAUCAACGCUGGCGGCGUGCCUAACACAUGCAAGUCGAACGCGACUUAGGCUUCGGUCUAAGUUGAGUGGCGAACGGGUGAGUAACACGUGGGUGACCUACCUUCGAGUGGGGGAUAACGUCCCGAAAGGGACGCUAAUACCGCAUAACAUCCUGCCUUUGAACAGGUGGAGAUCAAAGCCGGGGAUCGCAAGACCUGGCGCUUGAUGAGGGGCCCGCGCCUGAUUAGCUAGUUGGUGAGGUAACGGCUCACCAAGGCGACGAUCAGUAUCCGGCCUGAGAGGGCGGACGGACACACUGGGACUGAGACACGGCCCAGACUCCUACGGGAGGCAGCAGUGGGGAAUUGUUCGCAAUGGGCGCAAGCCUGACGACGCAACGCCGCGUGGAGGAUGAAGGUCUUCGGAUUGUAAACUCCUGUUGCUCGGGACGAAAAGCUUCGACCUAACACGUCGAAGUCUGACGGUACCGAGUGAGGAAGCCCCGGCUAACUCUGUGCCAGCAGCCGCGGUAAUACAGAGGGGGCAAGCGUUGUUCGGAAUUACUGGGCGUAAAGGGCGCGUAGGCGGCCUGCUAAGUCGAACGUGAAAUCCCUGGGCUCAACCCAGGAACUGCGUCCGAUACUGGUUGGCUUGAAUCCGGGAGAGGGAUGUGGAAUUCCAGGUGUAGCGGUGAAAUGCGUAGAUAUCUGGAGGAACACCGGUGGCGAAGGCGACAUCCUGGACCGGUAUUGACGCUGAGGCGCGAAAGCCAGGGGAGCAAACGGGAUUAGAUACCCCGGUAGUCC